rnacentral:pre_miRNA from 1 species
UAUAAGGGAUUUUGAGUUUUUGCUUGUAAUAUUUGACCAUUCGUCUUAUUCAAAAAAUUUUGAAAUUAUUAAUUAUUUUAUUUGUGACUUACUUUAUUAUCUACAGUAUUUUAAGCACAACUUUUUGUUUUUAAUAUUUGCAAAAAAAAUUUGAAUAAGACGAGUGGUCAAACGUUGCAAGCAAAAACUGAAAAUCCCUUAUA